UACGUAGGGUGCAAGCGUUAAUCGGAAUUACUGGGCGUAAAGCGUGCGCAGGCGGUUAUGUAAGACAGGUGUGAAGUCCCCGGGCUUAACCUGGGAACUGCAUUUGUGACUGCAUAGCUAGAGUACGGUAGAGGGGAUGGAAUUCCGCGUGUAGCAGUGAAAUGCGUAGAUAUGCGGAGGAACACCGAUGGCGGAAGGCAAUCCCCUGGACCUGUACUGACGCUCAUGCACGAAAGCGUGGGGAGCAAACAGG
rnacentral:rRNA from 1 species